AUGUCUGACAUUGCUAUGUUAGUUGCUGAGGAGUAUGAGAGAAGGGUCAAGAAUUUGAAAACCAGUGCUGCUGCUUCUAAUGGUGGUGCUGUAAAAACAUGGGAGAUUGACAUGUCUUGUUUUUCGCUAUUGGUUUCCAAGUUGAAGGAGGAGAAGAAGCAACUUGUUCAGUGUGUGUUGGAGCCUAAAACACAGUUUGCUGUUGCUGCUUCUAACAGCUUCUUUUCUGCUUGA